rnacentral:sRNA from 1 species
CCACCCCUCCGCCAGCUUCCAGUCUCCAGGGGCUCACUUGAGGCUUCUCUUGUCAGUUAUUUCAGAAGAACCGAGGACUUAGAUAGCCUUGGAGAGUUCCAACAUGGUAGCCGCUCUACCUUGGGCCAUCCCUUCUGUGCCUAGCACCCCUUGCAUAGUCACAGAAGGCCAAUUUAAGGCCUUUGUCUGCCACCUGGUCCAGACUCUCCCGAGAGUGAACCCGUCAGGUUCUCCGCCCGAUCCACCACACCCUGUUGCUCUCCCGCUUCACAGAUGAGAAAACUGAGGUCUGAAAGGAAGGCUACAGUGCAAAAUCCUUGGCAGGCUGUCACUAAGCCUGUCUAGCACAACACCCAUUCAUGUACGCUCUGCCUUUCCUGCAGGACUAACAGGUUGGUCCUGCUUCUGUCCACCAGCCUUCCCAUAGGCACUGAUCAGGCCAACAGAAAGGACCGUAGAAGCCCAGGCGGCACCAACCGUAUGCCAGUCACAAGUCUGUGCCUGUUCCUUCCUAUUCUGGACUUCUCCACACUUUCUUCUGAGCUGGGCCAAAGUGGAAUCAAUGGUCAUGGUGCUACAAUCUUAGGGCCAGUAGGGGUCACACAUGCCCUAUUCCCCCCACCCCCACCCCUUCUUUGCACACAGCCUAAAACAGCAAUCUCACCAUUUCACCUGUGGCCCUUUCUACCUAGACAGCUCAGGAUCCUCAGAGACCAGACCACCACCGUGGUUUUAUUAUAGUGAGCACAGUCUGUCUUUCUCUGUUCCUUACACCACCAACCUUCCCAUAGCCACUGAACAAUGACCUUUCGUCUCACUCACUGUUCCAACCUGAAAACAAAUGAAAGCCCCAACUAAUUUGAAGCCAGACGUUCUGUUUAAAGAAGUGAUCCACAGAUUUUACUUUGUCCACACAACAGUUGUAUGGGGGAGGGGUUCAUUGUACCCAUUUCAAAGAGGAGAACACUAAGUCUCAGGGAGGUUUGGUGACUUGCCUAAGGUUACAUAACCAAUGAUCAUAAGAGUUAGGAUAAUAUAUAAACCCAGGCUGGUUUGGGUCCAAAGCCUGUUUUCUUAACCACUGAGCAAGACAGCCCUGCUCCCAACUUGAAGCAAAUCUGGUCCACAGGAAAUUGCUGCUAGCUGAAGCCCUCAGAAGUAGAAAGGAUUCUCCAAGGUCAGGGCCCUGCCUUGGAGACAGAAGUCAGGGCCCUUUUGAGACUUCACCAUAGAAUCUGAGUAUCGGGAGGAUAUUAGGAUCCAUAGCCUGGGUGGGUAGAGUGGCUGGCACUUGCCUUUAAUCCCAGCUCGUAGGCAGCAGAGACAGGAAGAUCUCUAUGAGUUCAAGGACAGCUUCAACAUUGGAAGUUCUAGGCUGGCCAAGACUAUAUGGUAAGGUCCUAUUCAAAAACAACAACAACAACAACCCAAAAGGAAAUUCUUGCAGAGAAAAACCCCAGUUUGGUCUUGUCACUAGUGCUGUUGAGACAGAGUAUGUGUUGCCCCCUCUGCCUCAGGCCUGCCUCUAUGGGUCCAGCACCCCUAGAAUACCCGCAGAUGGCCUGGGAAGUUACCGAGUUCUAGCCUCUACCUCCCUCGGCUGCCCUCCCUGCCCAUCCUUACCCCCCUACUCCUACCCUCCCCCCACCAGCCUCAUCUAGGGCUGGUGCCAUAGCAACUGAGAGCACCAGGCCCUGGCAGCCAAGGAGCCCCUGAGAGGGGUCCCGGGCUGUGGCUGGGAGGAGUGCAGCAGGCGCAAACAAGCAAACCUUCUGUUUCUCUGGCUGCUACCAUCGGGAUCAGCCGUGGGCUGGGGGGCCUCACGGAGAAUGUGUUCUCCGAGCCAAGUGGGCAGGGGGCAGGCAGGCCUCGAAUCCCAAGCCUGGAAGACCAGCACACGGCCUUCCCCCACCAGCCCAUAGCCCACAGAUCAGGCAGGAACUGCUGGCGAAGGAGAAACCCCGCCACUGAUCCGUGCCAAUUAUAGAACAUUGAGAUUCUCCUCAGAGCCCUCCUGGGCACUGAAUAGGGAGGGAAAAUGUCCACGUUUCCUUCCCCCUCGCCCUCAGACACAUUCAGCAUCUCUCCCUUAUCCCUUCCUGCUUCACCCUGCUCUGUUAACUUGCCUUCUUCGUGUCUCAUUCCCCAGGCCUUAAAACAGGCUAUAAACCAGGCCUUUACACUCAGACACUGGGGCUGGGGCUGAAGUUCACACAAGCAGAUACUUGGAGGAGGGCCUAGUACCCCCAUGUGAAAUCAGAGAGCACCUUCUUCGUCCCUCUCCACCCACAGGAGAAGUCAUUCAUUCAGCCAGUCUGAGGUGCAGAGCUGAGACCUAGACAAGCUUGCUCAAGAGAAGAGAGGCAGGUGAUACAGAAGAUGGCUGAGGAAGGUCCAGAGAAGGGCUAUGUGGGAAGUGGGAGCCACCCAUAGUAUGAGAUCGCAGCAGCUCCACUCCACUGUGCUACCCUGAGGUUCAGUGAGAAGUGUUGUUAGCCACCCACGGAAAAGCUAAAUCUGAUAGGUAUCUCCCUGUCCAUGGCUAUCAGCUAAGCCUUCUCUAGACCUCAGCUUGAGUUUCCACAAAUCACGGGACAAACCUAAUGGUUAUUUGGGAUCUCUCCAAAUUCCCAGUGUAAGACUGAGCCUAUGGUCAGUGCCCCGCUGAUGCUUACACAGCACAGGACAGAGUGAGUGACUAUGCAGAGUGAGAUCUUCUCUUCCUCAGGCCUUGUCCUCAGCUAUUACCUAGUGGCAGUAUUUUCUAGGGUGGAAACUGGAUUGGGCAGACAAGGGUGACUCUUUUCCUCUUGGUGAUAAGACAGGCAGCUGUUGGGAGCAGAACAGACAGACCAGAUGCAUGGUAUCCUGAAGCCAGUGAGCUAUCCCUGAUGCUACCCAGGGCAAGGAGGUGGCACGGGAGCUCAGGCCACCUGGGAGAGCUUUUCCAUCAUAAAACCACUUUGUCCACACCAAAUCUCAGUCCUCCUACCUGGCCGCUCUGUGGCAGCUCUGAGGUUAGCCUGUCUCUGUGUUUCCAGAUGAGAGCCUUCUGCUACGCCAGUUCAAGGUGAUGAAGAGCCUAUGACUUACUCCACUGAUCAGUAAACAGUAGCCAUUAUGAUUCUGUGAGGUUCGGCCUCUGGGGUUUAGUUGGGUUCUACGACCGAUGACUCCAGGGCAGGUAUUCUGUUUGAGUGACCUUUGGAAAGUGAGGCGGCAUCUGGGGUGAAGGGCAGUAUCAGGUCUGAUCGACUAGAGCUGAAGUGGGUCAGCCAAGUGAUAGGUGACAGGCAGCGGAGGAAGAGAUGGCCUGGGGCACUGGGUGAGCAUUUGGGCUUUGCCUUGGACAUAUCAACGAAUCGUUUUUUUCUGGGGUUUAACAGUAAUGGCGGAUGGCUAGCUACUGAAGAGGAAAGAGGGCUGCUGAUAACCCCACACUGCCAUGCUGUUGUCUGAAGCGCCCGCCAGACAGCCUCCCUCCUAGAUCGGGACCAGACAUGGGGGUCUUGAAGCAUCAAGGCCUGAUGCUACACUGUCUGCUGGGGAUGAUGGAAUCCAGAAGGGAGCUCUGCAGGAGGAGGGAGAUCGGCCUGAAGAUGAUGCCAGGGCCAUAAGGCACAGCCUUUGGGUUUACUUGCACCUCAGCCUGAACGCUCGCUCUGCUGUGCGAGCCUAGAGCCUCCGUUUCCUCGUCUGUAAACAGGGGUAGCAAAACUGGCCCUGAAGCCUCGCUGUAAGGAAUACAAAGUAGACGUGCAACAGGCUCACCCGUGACGGUGACUCUGUGACUGCCUCUCCCUGGAGACAGGGAGAGGACUGAUCACUUUAGAAAGAUCUGUUGGAGGCUUCUGGGAAUCCUUCCUCCUGUACACCACAUUCCCAUUGCCAACCUGGGGCUGGGCACACUAUAGCGGGCAGGGGUGGGUGGGGCACAAGGCAGCAAGAGCCUGGUCCACACGGGCUGUGCUGUGCAAACAGAGGCAGAGAGGCCAGGUGGUAUCGUGCUAUUGGGAAAGGCACGGCAGGCACCCGAAGACUGGAGGAACCAGGGAGGGCUGCCUGGAAGAGAUAUGGUUAGCGGGUCCAGGAGAGGGAAGGGAUGAGGAAGAGCAUUCCAAGGGGGGUGGGGGGGAGGGCAAAAGCCCCAAGGCAGGGUGGUGUAAAUUCCUUUCACAAAUGCUGGAAUCUAACCAUCUGGAAGUAAGAAACCAGGCUGGAACCUAAGACCCAGGUCUGUCUGGGGCUGGGGGUGGAGGAAGCUUACAGUUACUUCAGCCCCGCUACUGGGCUGUGGCUACAGUUAGGUGUCUGUCACAUGAACAUAGAGGAAGAAAUCAUCCCUGCUUCAGGAAGCAGGUGAGCAUCACAGGGGACAUUCAGAGUGCCGGGUUCCGGUCCUUCUGCAGGGAGGAGGUGGGGCUUCCCAGACUAUAGACACUGGGAAGAAACAGAGGGAUCUGAGCAAGAGGGAAGUGUCAUCAGACUCAGUUCAGAUUUGAGGUUAGAGUGGAGCAGGAGUGCCAAGGGAGAGAACAAAUAGAGAAACGGACUGUGAGAGAGGGAGACGGCCCAGCUACAAUCUCUCUCCACAGAGGAGCCCCCAGAUCUGACAGCCCAGAACUAGACCCCACCCCAGACACAUGACCACUAGGCGGGUUUGUAAACUUCCCUCCAUCCAGAACUUUGAGACCCAGAAUUUUCUCAGUGGCUAAGGGUUUGGAAGGACGUCUUAGGAAUCUGGAAAAUUUGCAAAUCCAUUUAAAAUCUCCAAAGUCUGCCUGGCGGUUGA